rnacentral:lncRNA from 1 species
GUCAAUCCUUUGAAGAGUUCCAGCCGGCCUAAACUGCUCCACAAGAUGGCAUGGAGGAGACAAUGUCUACCAAAGCAACAACCUAGUGUGGCACCAAGAAUAUGGUAGAUGCUCAGCAAAACUGAAGAAAGGGUGGCAGGAAGUGAAAACUCUACUCCUGAGUUCCUGCAUAUAUGACCCAGUGAAGAAUUAUUUCUGUCUGAAAGGAGAAAGGAUUCUGGGGAGACAGCAGGGCCCGAACCACCAGGAAUCUGUCUCCCCACCUAGACAACAAUGGCACUAGCAGAAUCUGUCUGAUGUAACUAUUUUGGAACUCUGGAGUCUAUUGAAGGCUUGCAACUUCCAGGGGAAGGUUUCGAAGGUAAGUUGUGAUUAAUUGUGGUCAAUUUCAGCUCUUAGCUCAGUGGCAGUUGCC